rnacentral:tRNA from 1 species
CAGUAAGUAGUUUAUUAAAAAUGUUAAUUUUGGGGAUUAAUGAUAAGUGUAUUGCUUCUUUCUGAAGU